rnacentral:lncRNA from 1 species
CCGAGGCAAAACUGGACCUGGCGCUCCAGCUGCUGAUGCUGUGGCCUCUCCUCCCCAACCCGGGAGAGUCAGGGGCAGCCACAGACGUCCUGGACACUGGCUGCUGCCCAUCUUGGGGACAAAAAGCCCCAGGCUUGGGCCACACCUAGGACUGAGCUCUCAGCAACAGAUGACCCCAAGAGGGAGACACUUGCUGUGGGUGAGCACCGGUUACACGUCUGUCACAUGUGCCUUUGUACUUAGAGUUUGCCUGCUCUGGUUGGUCUGCUGAGAUCGGUGGUCACUACAGGAAAAUUGCUUUUGCAUUAUGAACUACUAACCCGGCAGAUACUGUUCAGAGCACACCACACAGGAGAAAG